rnacentral:lncRNA from 1 species
AGAGCCCUCCUCCCGCCUGCUCUGUGUAGGAGACAGCCUGCGGAGCCCACUGCCGGCGCGCAGAGAGCCCAGCAGCUCUUGAGUCCAGGAAGCAAGGGUGGGAGGAGGGACGAGCCAGUGGCAAUGACCCAGACCCGGACGACCCCCAUUGCUGAGCCAGCGGAGCUGCUUGAGGUUGCAGUGAGCUGAGAUUUUGCGACUACACUCCAACCUGGGCAACAGAGCGGGACUCCAUUCCAAAAAAAUAAGAAAAACAGAAAAAUAAUAAUUACAUCUGCAAAGACCUUAUUUCCAGAUCCAAAGUCCACAAAUAUAUCAUAAAUCUGAAGAGGAACUGGGAGAAGCUUCUGCUGGCAGCUCAUGCCAUUGUUGCCAUUGAAAACCCUGCUGAUGUGUCAUAUCCUGCAGGAAUACUAGCUAGUGGGCUGUGCUGAAGUUUGCUGCUGCUGCUGGAGCCACAUGUAUUGCUGGUCACUUCACUUCUGGAACCUUUGCUAACCAGAUCCAAUCAUCUUCUGCCACCCACAUCUUCUGGUGGUUACUGAUUCUAGGGCUAACUAUCAGCCUCUCUCAGGGGCUUCUUAUGGUAACCUACCUACCUACCACUGCUGUAUGUAACAGAUUCUCCUCUGAGCUAUGUGGAUAUUGUCAUCCCAUGCAACAACAAGGAAGCUCAAUCACUGAGUCUAAUGUAGUGGAUGCUGGCCCAGGAAGCUCUGUGCAUGUGUUGCACCAUCUCCCAUGAUCAUGCCUGAUCUCUACUUCUAUAGAGAUCCUGAAGAGAUUGAAAAGGAAGAGUAGGCUGCAGCUGAAAAAGGAGGAAUUUCAAAGUGAAUGGACUGCUGUAGUGCAAGUUUACUGCUACUCAAUCUGAGGUUGCAGACUGGUUUAAAGACAUGCAGGUGCCCUCUGUGCCUAUUCAGCAGUUCCCUACUGAAGAUUGGAGCACUUAGCCUACCAUGAAUGACUGGUCUGCAACUUCCACUGCUCAGACCACUGAAUGGGGUCCACGAGGCUGGUGUCAGACCUAUUGGGAGACCCUCUGCGUUAGUGAGAAAAACGGCAAGAAAUGGGAGCACGCGGAAACCUCCAAGACUAGAGCCACCAGAUGCCACCGACAGCACGCAGCUGGACCAGCACGGGGGAGGGCCUUCGUGGGUCGAGAGCUCGCUCGGGAGAUAGUUGGUGCUUUUCUUUCAGGAGAAGAAUCCCUGGCGGAGUCUGACCGUUCUCUGGCGCACAGCCCCGGGGGUGGGCACAGCAGCCGCCCCUGCUGAAGGGACUGACGCCUCCGACGACCAGCAGCCAAGUUAAACGCACUGUUCCGUGAGCAGCUUUGUUGGAGACAGCGCGGUUCACAUUCUCUUCCAACGGAGCCGCUGACUGCGGAGCUGGGAGGGGACGUGACAGAACCCAGCCAUCCAACGUCCCCCCACCCCUCCCCAGCUGGGACCUCCGGCUGCUUCCGGGCUGCGCUGGGUGGCGUCAAGGAGCCGCCCCUCUGGGCCGCGUCCCUCCCUCACGCCCUGCACACUGGCCCUGUGUGGCCGGCGGGGCGCCUAAAAGGGCGGAAGGAUGCAGGGGCGGAGGGGGCUCGGGAUUGCACGCCUAGCUCAGACCCCCCAGCCAGGACCCCUCGCGCUGUUGGACACGCCAGCCUCCCGACCCUGCGGCUCCUACGGGAGGUGACAAGGACCCUGCCAACCUGGCCUGAAUGGCCCAGUUUGAUACAGAUCAGGUUUUCAAUGAAUGAGACCGCGGUGUGGUCUAGGCGGAGGGAUGAGAGGAGGGGAUUCUGCUGGGAUAAGUGGGGGCGGGGUAAGGAGGGGAUUCUUUUCCUGGGCUGAGGAGAACGCAGGGACAAAGUACACAGGGGUAGUUGAGUGAGCAGGUGAGGCCCUAGGCUGGUUCCCCACCUUCUCAGGAUCGGAGCCACUCACUUCCUGGUACUCUCUGCAGUCUCCUGGCGUUAAAUAACAUCCCUUUGCUGGAGACUCUGGAUUCACAUCCAUAAUCGCAGCCUCCCCUACUCAUCCCCUCACGCUUCCCAUGAACUAACCUUGAAGGACCCGACCAGAGCCCUGACCUCCGUCCCACACACCUGCUACAUGGAAGGUGUUCUCCACAUCAGUUCAAGGCAGUGUCACUCUUCAGGAUGUUCAGGCUCUAAACCUUGGACUCCUCCUCCAGAUUUCUCUCUCCUUCCUUCUCCUUGUCUCUCCCUUGCACUUACGGUUCACUUUUCCUUCGUAGCUUUGUAGCUCAUUCCCCCUUCCACUUUCCACACCACCUUCUGGUCUGUUAAUUAAAUAUUACCUGGUUUCCACUGACACCUUCCCUGGGUUCCCAAUUGAAAAUCACAACAUCAUCCUCCUCCUCUGCUUUUUUUCUCCAAAUUAUAUCCUCACCCAAUUAUGUGUUAUUCUCAUUAAUCUUGCUUAAUUAAUUAGCAGACAUUAUUAAUGCCUGUUUCCCCUAUCACCACCACUAGACUAUGAACUCCUAAGGACUCCUUCCUUCCACCACUGUUGUACUCGCUUCACCUAGAACUGCUUGGCACAUACAAUGUGCUCCAUAAAUAUUUGUUGAAUGAAAGACUAGACACAACUUAGGAUUCACUCCCCCAUGUGGCAUCCAUAAGCCCUGUAUGCAGGUAAAAUGUCAGUGGGUUGACUAAAUACUGGAAGUGGAAAAAACUUCACCUCUUUGGUUUGCAGUUGUCUAGGAUAUUUAGGCCAAUGGAAAAUCCAGUUUUCCUUAGAAUUAAGCCAGUGCCGCCAGACUUGCCAGUUUACCAUGCUUGUCUGACUGGUCCUCAGCAUGGGUCAUACGUGUCCAAUGAAUUCAAACAAAAUCUUGAGAAGACACGAACCUUGCCCUUCGGCUGGGCGCGGUGGCUCACGCCUGUAAUCCCAGCACUUUGGGAGGCCGAGGCAGGCGGAUCACGAGGUCAGGAGAUCGAGACCAUCCUGGCUAACAUGGUGAAACCCCGUCUCUACUAAAAAUACAAAAAAUUAGCCGAGCGUGGUGGCGGGCGCCUGUAGUCCCAGCUACUCAGGAGGCUGAGGCAGGAGAAUGGCGUGAACCCGGGAGGCGGAGCUUGCAGUGAGUGAGCCGAGAUCGCACCCCUGCACUCCAGCCUGGGCGACAGAGCGAGACUCCGUAAAAAAACAAAAAAAAAACCUUGCCCUUCAUUCCCCAUUUCUAUCAUAAUCUACACAGAGUUUUGAACAGGCAUUUUAAAAUCAACAAUAUAUUAUUUACAAUUUUGUUAGUAUACAUAACUCUAACUCACUGUUAAAAAUCACCUGUCUUUAUAUCCAUUAAAUGACACUUGCAUAUGCUCCAAUUUUUCACUAAUGAUUUCGAGAGCAUUCUGGGACACAGGUGUCUGGACCUUUCAUAAGUAAACAGAAUUCCUAGCGACGGAAUUGUGUAUGCAGUAUGGAAACACCUUAUAAUAUACUGUCCUGGAUAUUGUAAAGGUGAACCAACAUUCUGUUAAAUUUAGAGCAAGUUGCAGAAAACUAUAUGAUACUUAAUUCUGUGCUAUAUGUAUAAUGGUUUCUUAGGGUUUUUUAAAUUUUUUUUUUCUUAGAGACAGUGUCUCACUCUCUUGCCCAGUCUGGAGUACAGUGGCACAAUCACAGCUCACUGCAGCCUCGACCUCCUAGGCUCAAGUGAUACUCCCACCUCACCUCCCAAGUAGCUGGGACUACAGGCAUGUGCCACCAUGUCCAGCUAACUUUUUUUUUUAUAUAAGAGAGAGGGACCCCACUACGUUGCCCAGGUUAGUCUUGAACUCCUGGGCUCAAGCAAUCCUGCCUCAGCCUCCCAAAGUGCUGGCACUACAGGCAUCAGCCACUGCACCCUGUCUGCUGCCAUAUAUAAUGUACAUUUUAAGAACUCUAUAUAGAUUCAUUUAUGUAUAUGUUUAGAAAAAAAUUCUGGAAUGGGCUGGGUGCAGUGGCUCACACCUGUAAUUCCAGCACUUUGGGAGGCCGAGGUGGGCAGAUCAUGAGGUCAGGAGUUUGAGACCAGCCUGACCAACUGGUGAAACCCCACCUCUACUAAAAAAAUACAAAAAUUAACUGGACAUGGUGGCACACACCUGUAAUCCCGGCUACUCAGGAGGCUGGGGCAGGAGGAUCACUUGAAGCCAGGAGGUGGAGGUUGUGGUGAGCCGAGAUCGUGCCAUUGCACUCCAGCCUGAGCAACAGAGCGAGACUCUGUCUCAAAAAAAUAGAUAAAAGAAAAGAAAAGAAAAUCUGGAAUGAAUCAAAAUACAGUCAUGCAUCAUUUAACAGGGAUUCAUUCUGAAAAAUGCACUGUUAGGAGAUUUCAUAGUUGUGCAAACAUUAUAGAGUGUACUUACACAAACCUAGAUUGUAUAGCCUACUAUACACCCAAGCUAUAUGGUAAAAGCUUAUUACCCCUAGGCUACAAACCUGUAUGGCAUAUUAUACAACUGAAUCCUGUAGGCAACUGUAAUACAAUGGGUAGUACUGUACCUUUUAUAGGACUGGCAGUGCAGUAGGUUUGUUUACACAAGCAUCAUGCCAAACACUUCAUGUGUUGUGCUGUCACCAUUCUGAUGGUUACGACGCCACUGUUAUAGGAAUUUUUCAGUUCUAUUAUAGUCUGAUGGGACCAUUAUUGUAUUUGAGGCCCAUCAUUGACUGAAAUGUCAUUAUGUGAUAUAGAUAUAUGAGAUACUAUUCAGCCUAAAAAGAUGGAAAUCUGGCCGGGCGCGGUGGCUCAUGCCUGUAAUCCCAGCACUUUGGGAGGCCGAGGUGUGCCGAUCACAUGAGGACAGGAGUUUGAGACCAGCCUAGCCAACAUAGUGAAACCCGGUCUCUACUAAAAAUACAAAAAUUAGCUGGGUGUGAUGGCGCACGCCUGUAAUCCCAGCUACUCUGGAGGCUGAAGCACAAGAAUUGCUUGAACCCAAGAGGCAGAGGUUGCAGUGAGUCGACAUUGUGCCACUGCACUCCAGCCUGGGCAACAGAGUGAGACUCUGCCCCAAAAAUAAAAAUAAAAAGAUGGAAAUCCUGUCAUUUUCGGUGACAUGGAUAAACUUGGAGGAUAUUAUGUUAAGUGAAAUAAACCAGGCACAGAAAGAAAAAUAUCUCAUGCUUUCACCUAUGUGUGGAAUGUACAGAAGUUGAACUCAUAGAGAAUAAAAUGGUGGUUACAAGAGAUUUGGGGGUGGGGGGAUUCAGGAGCCAUUGGUGAAGAAACAACAGCUGUUCCAUGAAGGUUCCCAUUGAUAAAUGCAGAAGGAAUGAGAGAGAGAGAGAGAAAAUCACCACUGGACCACAGUAAUCAUUGCCUCAGGCAAAAUUGACCCCUGAUGCUAAAACUCACGGGUGAUGGUUUAGGCAGAAACAAGAUAUUUGCAUAGUCUGAAGUAUCUCCUCCACAAUAUUUAGUAAUACAAAUGGAAGAACCACAAGUUUUCAGUAAAGAACACAAGCAAUUUCCUAGCCAAGUGAUCAAAAUUAACAUCACCUGUCCUGAAAUACGAUGCACUGAGAAGGGCACAUGAUCACAUCAUUUUGUAGCAUCCUUCUCAAUAAUGUAUAGCUUCAGUCUAAUCCUGAGAAAACAUCAGACAAACCCAAACUGAGAUGCAUUCUAGAAAAUAGCUGAUAUUCUUCAGAAGUUCCAAGGUCAUGAAAGACAGGAUAGACUAAGAAACUGUGAAAGAUGAGACAAGACCAAGGACAUAGGACAACUAAACAUGAUGUGGGAUUCUGAAUUGUAUCCUAGAACAGAAAAACUAAAAUCAUGAAAAAAAUGGUGAAAUGCAAAUAAUUUCUUGGUUUUGAAAAUUAUUUUGUGGGCUGGGCACGGUGGCUCACACCUGUAAUCCUAAAACUUUGGGAGGCCAAGGUGGGUGGAUCACCUGAGGUCAAGAGCUCGAAACCAGCCUGGCCAACGUGGGGAAACCCCUUCUCUACUAAAAAUACAAAACUUAGCCAGGCGUGGUGGCAGGCAUCUGUAAUCCCAGCUGCUCGGGAGGCUGAUGCAUGACAAUCGCUUGAACCCAGGAGGCGGAGGUUGCAGUGAGCCAAGAUCAUGCCACUGCACACCAGCCUAGGUGACAGAGCAAGACUCCAUCUCAAAAAAAAAAGAAAAAAAAUUGUUCUACGGUUAGGUAAGAUGCUAACAUAAGUAGAAGCUGUGUAGUGGGUGUAUUGAAACACUGUGAUUUUUGAAAUUCUUUUGAAAGUCUAAAAUCUCAAAAUUAAAAAUGAAAAAAGUAAAGGUACAAUGUAUAAAAUAUCCUGCCACACAUUAAAAUACAUACAUAUACAUACAUAUAAAAUAUGCAUAUAUUACAUAAAAUUUAUUUGGGUAGAGCUGGAAGACUGAGAGCCAUGAAUGGGAGAGGCUUUUCAUGUUUUAUUUUUAUAAAUAUAUGUAAUAGAGGCGGGGUCUCACUAUGUUGCCCAGGCUGGUCUUGAACUCCUGGGCUCCAGAGAUCUCUCCCACCUUGGUCUCCCAAAGUACUAGGAUGACAGGCGUGAGCCACUGCGCCAGCCACUUUUGUUCACAUACCCUUUUAUAUCUUCUGAAUUUGCUACAAUGACAUAUAUUACAUACUUUAAAACAAAAAUUAAGUAAAAUCAAAGAAAAGGUUGGCAACAUAAUGAGUGGAUUGCUAGACUUAGCCUAAUAAUUGGCUCAGGUUUCACAGAACUGGACUGUGAAACAAGGUCCAGUUUCCUUUCUGAAUCUAUCAGUCACCAACAUAGCUGGUCUGGGAUGCGUUUUCUUUGGAGGUCUUUGAAAACUACUAAAACCCAAAGUAUCAAGAUAUAUCCUGGUAAUAUUUUUGCAAUUCUGGGAACAUAUAUAACAAAUUGCAUCCCAUUCCAGUAUUAAAAUAAGUAUAGAAGCCAGAUGCAGUGCUUCACACUUGUAAUCCAAGCACUUUGGGAGGCUGAGGUGGGCAGAUCACCUGAGGUCAGGGGUUCAAGACCAGCCUGGCCAAUAUGGUGAAACUUCAUCUAUACUAAAAAUACAAAAAUUAGCUGGGCAUGGUGGCAGACUCCUGUAAUCUCAGCUUCUCGGGAGGCUGAGGCACGAAAAUUGCUUGAACCUGGGAAGCAGAGGUUGCAGUGAGCCAAGAUUGCGCUACUGCACUCCAGCCUGCCUAAGUGACAGAGCAAGACUCCAUCUCAAAAAUAUAUAUAUAAUAUAAAAAAUAUAGAGAGAGAUAAUAAAGAAACAAAUUUGAAGUCAUGGAAUUCGCCUUUCUUAAACUGGUUUCAAUGAAACUGUUAUCUAUUUUGUAUUCACUACAAUCAUAAGGAGACAACAUAGCAUAAGAGCCAAGAUUCAAACCUCAACUUUUCCAUUUACUGGAUGAGUGACUUUAGAUAAGUUUUUUAGUUUCUCUGUGUCUGAAAUUCAAGGCAGUAAUCAGAGAACCAAUCUCAUGGGCUUCUUUGAAUAUUGAAGAAGAGCACACAUCCAAAACAGAAAGGACCUGGCACUUGAGCAAGCCCUCAAAGGUUAACAAAUAAAUUUUUAAGAUAUUCUAGCUACUUUUAAAAGUUUUUAGCAUUUAAGAGAAUAUAAUAUAUUGGAUUUUGAUUUAAUUAUUAUUAUUUUUUGAGACAUAGUCUCACUCUGUCACCCAGGCUGGAGUGCAGUGGCACGAUCUUGGCUCACUGCAACCUCCACCUCCUGGGUUCAAGUGAUUCUCCUGCCUCAGGUUCCCAAGUAGCUGGGAUUACAGGAGCCCGCCACCACACCCCGCUAAUUUUUGUAUUUUUAGUAGAGACGGGGUUCACCAUGUUGGCCAGGAUGGUCUUGAACUCCUGACCUCAAGUGAUCUGCCCACCUUGGCCUCCCAAAGUGAUGGAAUUACAGGUGUGAGCCACCACGCCUGGCCUCUGAUUAUUUUUAAAUUGAGCAAAUUAUAUUUUUAAGUCUGUAAGUUUUGGGUUAUUAGUUAUGAAAGCAGGUACAUAUGCAUUUAGUGUUUUUAUUGCGGAAAUGUUAAUUAGUAGUCAUAAAUUAAGUAAUCAGGGAUUAAACAAAAUGAGUAUUCUUUAUCUUCAACCAGAAUGAAUCUUUCCAUAUAGCUCCCUGAAUCCUCACCCUUCCUGCCUCCUGCUCCUACUUAUACUCCUCCUUCUACCAGAAACUGCUCCCCUCCACCAGAGCUCUAAAUCACAACCCCUCUGCUUUCACUGGGGCUUGGAGGCUGCUACCUCUAGACUCUCCCUCCCACUGCAUCAACUCUGCCCUCCCUCACCCGACACCCCGAGUAAUUAAGCUCCCUCUUCCCCCAGCCUCUCCGUUCCCAGCUAUUUCCCCAUCCCAACAAAAAUUACCCAGGUUUUCCCAUCCAGGAGCAUCAGUUCUGCUUACUAAAAACGUCCACUAAACAUAUUCCACAUGCAUCCCCAUUUAAAUUUUUCAACUCACUCCAACCUGGUUUCUGAGAAUCUCACUCCUGCAACUGAACUGCUUGUGCUAAAGCUAGCAGUGAGCCCUGUGGUUCACAAACCAAGGAGCUAUUUCAUGCCCUCAUCUGACUGGACUGCUGGACAGAAUUCCCCAGAAUAGAUAAUACCCUCCUUCUAGCUUGGGGUGGGGGUUGGUGCCCCG